rnacentral:rRNA from 1 species
UACGCAUAUAAGUAAGCGGAGGAAAAGAAACUAAAUAGGAUUCCCUCAGUAAUGGCGAAUGAACAGGGAUGAGCUCAGUAUGGAAAUUGGGGCCUGUGGCCUUGAAUUGUAGUCUGGAGAUGUACCACCAACUGGGGCGCAGAUGUAAGCCUCUUGGAAAAGAGCAUCAAUGAGGGUGAGAGUCCCGCUUGGCAUCUGCAGUCCCCAGUGCACGGUGUACCUUCUAAGAGUCACGUUCCUCGGGAUUGGAGCGCAAAUCGGGUGGUAAGUUUCAUCUAAAGCUAAAUAUAGUUUCGAGACCGAUAGCAAACAAGUACCAUGAGGGAAAGGUGAAAAGGACUUUGAAAAGAGAGUUAAAAGUGCCUGAAAUUGCUGAAAGGGAAGCGAAUGGAACCAGCGUAACUUGGCGAGAUUGCUGCGUGUCAAUGUGAUUGCUUGCUGCUUCAACGUAAGUGUUGUAGUAAGUCUUGAACAGGACAUGCGCGGUGCUUCUUGCCUUGUGUGUCACCGUCAGUUCGCAACUGGGGAAAACUUCAGGGACAUGGUAGCCUGUCUCCGGGUGGGUGAACGUGUUUGCUGGAACUCAUUUGCGGAUUGCUUGGUGACUAA